rnacentral:other from 1 species
CGGGUUCUGCCGGGUUCGCGAAAAACGGUUCCCUGGGCCAAUACCGUUAGUAAGGGAGCUGCCUCUGUUGGGAUCGUGGUCCCUUCAUUGCGGCGCCCACCUGCGUGAGCAGGCCACAGCGGAGCAAGGUAUUUCGACGGCUUGGCGGUCCCGUC